UCCAGACUCCUACGGGAGGCAGCAGUGGGGGAUAUUGCACAAUGGGGGGAACCCUGAUGCAGCGACGCCGCGUGGGUGAAGGAGCGUUUCGGCGCGUAAAGCCCUAUCGGCAGGGAAGAAGGAGGACGGUACCUGACUAGGAAGCCCCGGCUAACUACGUGCCAGCAGCCGCGGUAAUACGUAGGGGGCAAGCGUUAUCCGGAUUUACUGGGUGUAAAGGGGGCGCAGACGGCAGCGCAAGCCAGGAGUGAAAGCCCGGGGCCCAACCCCGGGACUGCUCUUGGAACUGCGCGGCUGGAGUGCAGGAGGGGCAGGCGGAAUUCCUGGUGUAGCGGUGAAAUGCGUAGAUAUCAGGAGGAACACCGGUGGCGAAGGCGGCCUGCUGGACUGCGACUGACGUUGAGGCCCGAAAGCGUGGGGAGCAAACAGGAUUAGAUACCCGCGUAG
rnacentral:rRNA from 1 species